rnacentral:pre_miRNA from 1 species
AUGGAUACCCUUACAAAAACACUGACAUUAGUUCUCAAUACAGUAAGUGCUUUUUUGUUGGGAGUAGUUUUU